rnacentral:misc_RNA from 1 species
UGAAGUACACGAACACACACACACACACACACACACACCGCACAUACCGCGUCUAUCAGCCUGGACGGUAACGCACUGUUUCGUGUCAUGUACGGUGACAAGGGCCCGCCCAAGGGAUACAGUGUCCCUCGGUUCGACACCAACGCCAGCAAGCGAUGCCAGACAUGUUCAAGCACGGAGCAUUGGACCUUUGAGUGUCCACUGAAAAAAUCGGCCACAUCGUCUGCCAAGAAGGGCGCCGCCGCGACGGUGAAGCUAAGCCCGAGUCAGAUGCUCAGGUACGGGAUAAAGCGGAAAUCUGCCAAUUUUGUCCCAGAGCCCACGGAGCGCGAGGUGUUCGAUGCGGAGCUGAGGGAGCUGCGCAACAUGCUGACGGCGGAGGUUCGCCAGGAGCUCAAGGCGAAAAAGUUUGCGGCACACAAGAGUGGGAAUGACUGCAAGAUGCACGAGGCACCGCUGCCCUCUGCGGCACCCAAAAAAGAGUCGCCGUCCGACCCCGUCAAGAUCAAGAAGGAGCGUACGGAGAAGGAGUGAUGGGCGGGGUAGAGGAGCUCAGAAGACAGCGCCAGUCCUUGGAUAGGUGCUGACGCGCGACACAAGCAGCUCGUGAGCCACAAUCAGGUCGCUCUCGCUCGCUCUUUUGGCCAUUUGCCGUGACCUAAAGGCGUCGCUCCUUCUCCCACCCACCCGCUCGCCUCCCUCGCUGCAUGAGGGACAGCGGCAGGCAGGUGGUCUCCAUCGUCUUGCAUGUGCGAGAGUCGGAAAGUC